AUCACCCAGUAUCCUGUGGAGGAAAACAGCCGACAUGAAGGCCAUUUCAGCUUUCCCUCUUCUAAUCAUGCUUUCUAACCUACUGCCAAUUCGCUCCUAGGCUGUCCUCGAUAAGGCAUGCCGUAGGAUUACGGGAACCCAAAGUUCACGAAUGCAAACUUCACGAGGCUGCCCGGCCCCAUCCUUUCCAGAAGAUCAUAUCUACAGCAAAACGGUGCUUUAUCCUAGAAAUCCCUUUUCAAUCCAAAUCCUAAUGGAACUCCUUGACAACCCCUUGACUAAAUUACAUUAGUAAUAUAGUUCCUAACAAUUUCCUUUGUUAGGAAGGGGAGCAAAAGGGCAAAAAAAAAAAUCAUUUUUUUAAAAAAAUAAUGAAAAUUGCAAAGGCUUAAAUACUGAAAGAAUUGCUUGCCUCUACAACAAAUCUGUAUCAUUACUAACAAGCGAUAAAAGGCCUUCCGAUGGAUACCAAAUGAGAACCUUCCAGAGGGCCACGGGCGCCCAGCUGGAAACCCCUGCUAAGAGCAUCUGCAGUCUGAACCCACAGUGACUGCGCGUCUUCUCUGGAUGCCAUUAACAGACCUCUGCGAAGGGAGGCUUCGGCUGCUCCACGUCAGCUUUAGGAUUGGCUCUGAGUCAAUACAAGUAGGAAGUUCAACUGGUUCCCUGGGUGUUCAUUCCUGGUUGGAGAGCUGUUUGGGAGGCUGGGAAGGUCCAUUAGAAGCAUAAUUCUAUUCCAGAGGUGGCUUGGCAGAUGGAGCAUAUCAUGGGUAAAGGCAGUGGUAAAGUCUUGGUGAGGCAAAAAUAAAAGAGGUACAUGAAUCCAGACACAAUUUGAAAUAGAUCUUUCUGUUCCAGGUUAAUUUCUCAGCAUGUCACAGAAAGCAAUUCCUACUAGACCUGAAGAAAGUGGCUUCUCUCUUAACAGAAUGUUAUCUUCUUCUAGAGAGUAAUAUGUUUUUAUUAAAUAAAAAGCAUCUAAUAGUACA